GUACUCGCUUUGGCAGCACAUAUACUAAAAAUUGGAACCACAGAGAAGAGUAGCAUGGCCCCUGCCCAAGGAUGACAUGCAAAUUCGUGAAGCGUUCCAUAUUUUU
rnacentral:snRNA from 1 species